rnacentral:misc_RNA from 1 species
AGUGGUGUUCGAGUGUUGCUGGAUUGGUGACUGUACGAUUUCCGGGAUAAAUUUUCGUGUUUUCUGUAAAAUAUUUAUUAUAGUGGCAGUUUCAGUGAAUACUUUUGACCAAUUAAUUUUGAAUAUGCACCCGAGUAAAAGCUAGUCGCGAUGUUUCGGUGUAUUCCAAUUUUUAAAGGCUGUAACAGGCAAAUUGACUAUAUUGAUAAGAGGCACAGUUCUCUUCCCAAUGUUCCAGAGGAUAUUUUGCGGUAUUCUAGGAGUUUAGAAGAACUUUUACUCGAUGCUAAUCAUAUCAGAGAUCUUCCAAAGAAUUUCUUUCGGCUCCAAAGAUUAAGGAAAUUAGGCUUAAGUGAUAAUGAAAUUCAAAGGCUACCUCCAGACAUUCAAAAUUUUGAGCAUUUAGUUGAGCUGGAUGUAUCUCGUAAUGACAUUCCCGACAUACCGGAAAGCAUCGGCCACCUCCACUCGCUGCGGGUGGCCGACUUCAGUUCCAAUCCCAUCGCUCGCCUGCCGCCCGCCUUCGCUCAGCUACGGUCGCUCACCACCCUCGGGCUCAACGACAUGUCGCUCACCAGCCUGCCGACCGAUUUCGGCCAGCUGGUGUCGCUUACGUCGCUCGAGUUGAGGGAGAACCUGCUCAAGGAGCUGCCCGCAACGUUCAGUCAGCUGGUGAACUUGGAACGGCUGGAUUUGGGCGAUAACGAGAUAGAGGAAUUGCCUCCACAUAUUGGUAAAUUACCUGCCCUCCAGGAAUUGUGGCUGGACCACAACCAGCUGCAGUCUCUGCCUGCGGAGAUAGGACAGCUGAGCAACCUGAGCUGUCUGGAUCUGAGCGAAAACAGGCUAGAGUACCUGCCAGAGGAUGUAGCUGGGCUAGAAAGCCUGACAGAUCUGCAUUUGUCGCAAAACGUUUUAGAAACGUUGCCUGAUGGUAUUGGUAAGCUAGAGAAGCUUACUAUUCUUAAGGUUGACCAGAACCGACUUACGUCACUCAACGUAAAUAUCGGUCACUGUCACAACUUACAAGAGUUAAUUUUAACUGAAAAUUUUCUCAGUGAACUGCCUAGAGAAAUAGGCAAGCUGGUCAAGUUGACCAACCUAAAUGUAGAUAGGAAUAGUUUGACCAAUAUACCUGAAGAAAUAGGUAAUCUAUGUGAGUUAGGAGUAUUAAGUUUGCGAGACAAUAGACUGACGUUGUUGCCCGAUACCCUGGGCAACUGCAAGCGACUACACGUUCUAGACGUAUCGGGCAAUAGGUUGCCCCAUCUGCCUUAUACCUUGCUUCAGCUCAGUCUUAAGGCUGUGUGGUUGAGCGAGAACCAAGCUCAACCUUUGCUGACGUUUCAGACUGACACGGAUCCAGAGACUGAGAAAACGGUGCUCACUUGUUUCCUGUUACCCCAACAGGAAUACCAGCCCACUAUAACUUCCGACGGCCGCUUGUAUCGCUACGACACCGGUCUUAGUAACGGAACUUUGUCCCGCAUCUCAGCUACGACGGUGCGCACGGACGACGCCACGUCGGACGAUUGGCAGGAGCAGGAGGCGAGCAGGACGCACAGCGUCAAGUUCACCGAUCCGCAGGACAAGGACAAUAAAGAGACGCCUUUUGUACGUCAAAAUACACCACACCCUCGGGAAUUAAAAGCCAAAGCGCACAAACUGUUUGGUAAAAGUGGCAACGUUGCGCAGGAAGAUUCAGAUUCGCAUCAGCAUGAUAGCAUCAUCAGUGUUACCACGAAUUCCAUAGACCCGCCAAGCGAACCUGUUAAUGCGGUCAUUACGCAGCAAGCGCCACUUGUCACAAAGGUGGCCACGCCCCCGCCUCCUGUCAAAUACGAAGAAGAACCUCGCGUUCCUAGUGUGCUGGGAAACGGAAAUGGACCGGAGAGUAGCGAGCCAAGUCAAGACGAAGAUACCGAUGAUGAGUUCCUCAGACGUCGUGUGGGCUUCGUUCCCGCCCACAGCGACUCGGACGGCGUAUCCAGGGAGGAGGGAAAACAGUCUCGACUGCACAGGCGCGACACCCCCCACCACCUGAAAAAUAAGCGAGUCUCCACGCCGAUGGACAAGGAGAAGGUGGCCAACAUCAUCGCGCAGGCUCUAAAAAGAAAAGAAGAAGGUAGCGAAUCUGACAGGAUCAGCGUUUCCACCAAUCCGGAAUCUCUGGGAGAUCAUAGUUGUACAAGUAGUCAAGCUGGCGAUCAGACGGCUACUACCAUCGACCCCACGGUCGAGCUGCGCGAAGAAAAGUACGAGAUCCGCAUCGAGCGCUCGAACGCCGGUCUUGGUUUGUCCAUAGCGGGCGGCAAGGGCUCGACGCCCUUCAAGGGCGACGACGAGGGCAUCUUCAUAUCGCGGGUGACGGACGGCGGCCCGGCGGACCUGGCCGGGCUCAAGGUGGCGGACAAGGUGGUCAAAGUGAACGGGGUGGACGUAACGGAGGUGUCGCACUACGAUGCGGUGGAGGUACUCAAAGCCUCAGGGCAAACACUAGUGUUGGAGGUAUUACGGGAGGUAACUAGACUGGUUCGCAAUAAGCCUGAAGUGAUCAGUAAUAACAAACCAGAGACGUAUCACAUAACUCCACCUCCGCCACUGCCUCCUGUAGAGAACUCAGUGGAGACCAAAACGAUCCUGGUACAUACAACCUUAAUUAGAGAUUCCAGAGGACUUGGGUUCAGCAUAGCUGGUGGUAAAGGAAGCCAACCCUUUAAGGCUGAUUCCGAUGCGAUAUUCGUGUCGAGAAUAACAGAUGGAGGCGUCGCCGACAAAGAUGGAAAGUUAGCUCUAGGAGAUCGUGUCAUCUCUAUUAAUGGAGUCGAUCUCACUGGUGCUUCCCAUCAGCAAGCUGUCAAUCUCCUCACUGGAUUGGAAAGAUUCGUCAGGCUAACAGUAGAACGUGAGGUGCCUGUUGAUGAACCCGUCCCCCCUGGUGCGUCACCGUCGCCAGGGCCUCAACAGAGCCCUAGGUUGUUUGGUCUCCCCAAACCCUAUACAGGGUUGUACAGCGCCAAUAGUUACAUGGCAAACCGUCCAUUCGGUGCUUACAGACGAUCUGUGGAAAGCGACUCGAGCAAAAAGAGCAAUUCUCCCGAUCUAAUAAAGCCUCCAACGCCCGUAACCACGCCCCCAUCGACCGUUAAAGACGCACCCAAGACGAACGGCAUCGCCCACAACGCCACGCCCCCUAUCCAAGAAGUGCCCAAACCCGCCCCGCGUCGCCUUAACGGCUCCACCACAACCGCGCCGCCCCCUCUAGCGCCGACCCCGCCUGCAGCCGCGCCCACGAUGACCAAUAACAAUCACAAGAAGGCCACGCCCACGUCGUCGAUCGAAAGCGACGAUCAGGUACUGCCCCGGCCCAUCACCAACGAGGAAUUCCAAGCCAUGAUCCCCGCCCACUUCCUUCCCAAGCCGCCUCCCACUCCUCCGCCUCCUCGCAGUUCAGACGACGCCGCCGACCCGCCGACGGCCAACGGGGGUGCCGCUUCGGUUACGACCGUGACCAUUCGUAAACCGGACCCGAUCGAGUUACCCCCCGCCCCCACCGGUCCCGGGCGUGUCACCGAGACGAUAACGAAAAGCACGUUCACGGAAACUGUGGUGACGCGCAUCACGGACAAUAAAUGGGUGGCGCCACUCAUCAUCGAGGAUGUGAUGUUGACCAAAGAAGGAGGAUCUCUGGGAUUCAGUAUUAUAGGAGGAAGCGACCAUUCCAGUAUACCAUUCGGUGGUAAAGAGCCAGGAAUCUUCAUAUCACACAUGGUACCCGGAGGUACGGCUUCCAAUUCUGGUAAAUUACGAGUGGGCGAUCGGAUUUUGAAGGUUAACUCGGAAGAUAUCACGAAAUAUACACACCAAGAGGCUGUCAUGGCGUUGCUGAGACCCGGAGAUACUAUAACGUUGACGAUACGUCACGAUCCUUUGCCAGAUGACUAUCAGGAAUUGGUUAUAGAGAAGAACGAAAAUGAAAAAUUAGGAAUGCACAUUAAAGGAGGACUACAAGGUCAAAGAGGAAAUCCCCUAGAUCGUUCAGAUGAAGGCGUUUUCAUAUCAAAAGUCAACACAUUAGGCGCUGUACGACGCGAUGGUAGGCUCAAAGCAGGCAUGCGUCUCAUUGAAGUGAACGGCAAGUCAUUGCUCGGAGCUACUCAUAACGAAGCUGUGAACUCACUGAGGCAUUGCGGCAACAAAAUACGGUUGAUCGUUUGUAAGGGUUAUGACAAGGCCGACAUGGACAAGGCAGUGGCGGAGGGUCGAUUAACCAGGGGCGGGUCAGUCAGUAGCCGGUCGCAGAGUGUGAGCAGUUUGGACGUUAACGACGAAGAUUUUUCUUUGUUUGAAAAAGAGGAGGCAGAGAAACGGCUGCAACCUCUCUAUCAAAGUGAGGAAGAUCUCUCGUUAGUCGAGGCCAAACCGACUACACCUGCGGAGAAAGUUAUGGAUGUUGUCCAUGCUGUCGAAACGUUAGCCAGGGGCAACCAAGAAAACGCUGCACCCCCUAAAUCACCUGGAGGGCCCAACUCUGAGCUCAAAACGACGACAGUUGUUAUGAGCAAGCAUACGUUAGCACCUCAACAUACUACUGAGCAUUCCGCCACACUGCCUAAACCCGCCAAACCCAACAUGGAGGUUGAUACGGGCACUUUACAGCAUACAACCACACAAAGAGUCAGAUCUUUAUCAACUGACAAUUUGGAUAAAGUAUCUCAGGAUGAAAAGGGCUCAUUUAAUCGGUCUAGUCUGGAUUCACUUUUGACAGAUGACUUAUUCCAACAACUUCUGAAAGCACAUUCGGCAGCUAAUUUAACUAAAGAGUCUUCUAAGUCGACUGAAAGUACUGCAGUUCAAACUACAGUGUCUUUAAAUGCUGAGUCUCAAAAUGAAUCAUCUUCUAGUAAUCCCGAUUACAUUGCGUCAUCAAUCUCAACAGAAUCUUCAAAUUUAAUAGGCACGUUAGCUUCUAAUGUCGCACCAAGCAACAUAAAUACUAUAGCCACGCCACUUAAACCUCUUCAGGUGGAUAAUUUACCGGAACCUCCAACUAUUUUAUCUCCAACCAAUCCAUUCUACCACGAAAGUCUACUCGCACAACUUCAGAACGAUGAUAACUCAUCUAAUAAGUCAGUAUUAGCUCCGUCUGUAGACUUUGUAGCACCACCAAACAGUUUUCAAAACUACGAAAACUUGAAUACAGUAUUUAGAUAUUCGACUGAUAGUUUGAACCAGGUUUUAGGUCCGGAUAAUGUGGGAUAUAAGGUUAAUAAUUAUCCGAUUCCUAUGAAUCAGCCACCUCAACAUACUAUCAACGUGUUUAAUCAGUUCCCAUUCCCUAGUGGCUAUCGUUCUGACAUGGUUCCGCCUUAUCAAAGUUAUACAGUGCCUAGCUACUCUAAUAAUAUAUCGGAGAAUCCGUAUACCUUACCACCAAUGAACUCAUUCAGCUCUAUAGGCCCUUUUUCGCCACCCCCCGCUGAAUUCACACCCUUACUUAAAGACGAGGAUAUUAUCAAGGUCCCUCCUCCUCCUCCUUUGGAUCAGUUUCUUUCUAGCGACCUACCUCCACCUUUACCCCGAACCCCUCCUCCACCUCUAACAAAACCGACCACUCCUCGAAAGCCAAUAGUCAAGCCUAAAGAAAAACCUCCACCUGUUCCUAGUAAACCUUCACUAAGAACGUAUCGUAGUGAGGAGACGUUGUUGAACACAGAUCCGGAGUUGUUUGACACUGCGAGAAAGAGCGCGAAUGCGAAAUUAAGUAGUUUCGGUAAGAGGCUGUCGAUGUUUGAGAAUUUCAGCAAGCCACCUCAAAGCCCGACAAGUCAUAGCGUUAAACAGUCAGUUAGCGAUAGGAAAAAGUUCUUUGAAACCGCUAUGGAGGAAAGCCAAAAACCCGUCAAAAAAAGAAAAAACUUUCAGUUAUUUGAGUCCGGAUGAAGUAGAAAAAUUGAAAGCAGAAGAAGAUAAGAAGAUAGCGCAACUGUCUUCAGCUGACAUCAACUCGUUACACACUCUCAGUCAUUCCGAUAACGAAUCAAUUGAAUCUCAACCUACUAGUAGGCCUUCGAGCACUAUAGGCAUAGUGCGCACGGCGAAGGCAGAAAGGCGCCUGCGUGACCGCAUGCGCGAGGAGGGUCUUUUGACUGAUGAAGACGAAAGUGGUUUGUCACCAGCCGAAGAGAGGGCGCGGCGAG